GGGGAGUAGCUCUUCUGCUGAUAAGACAGGACAUCUGGUGGCCCAUCUAUCCAUGGGUGGGGUCACUGAGCCACAGAAGCUCCAGACGGCAUCCACCCUGUCUCUGCUGUGCUGCUGGCCUCGUGGCUGGAGAGCACAGCCCGGCUUCUCCUUUCGGCUUCCUGUUCCCAUGUGAAAACAUCUUGGAGUCCAACGUCACGGACAGAAUCUGAGUGGGAUCUUUCUGAGUCCUUGCGUGCGUGGGAACAUCUUUCUGCUCUCCUUGGCACACGAGCGACAGACAGGUCACAUGUGGAAUUUUGAAGUCUGAACGUUUUCUCCUGAGAAGCUCUAAACAUCAGCCCGUGCCUUGUCCUUUAAGAUGGAAAUCGCUAGUGGGUAUUAGGUCUAAGAUAAUACCAUAUCUGCCGCAAAUUCACGUUAGUUGUUCAGAAACGUGACCAGACGGCGUGUGGGACCCAUGUCCGCUGCCCUUGAGGAGGGAAGAGGGCUGCUGCAGAAACCAGCGGCCGCGGACACGUAGAAGAGCCCCUAAGCUGAGUUCGCAAGCCCAGGCCCCAGCCACAGCUGCCCACUGCACGAGGAAUGUCCCCAGGCCGGUGCCUUGCUUGCUACCCACUCGGGGAGGAAGCCAGAAUAUUCGUUAAA